ACGCAUUAUAAUAUAUUUCUUCAUCACUUUAUAGCCAAAAGCGGGGUUAAUUUAAUUUUGUAUUGUUUGAUAUAUAUAUUUAUAUGAUAUACUUGAUGUACAGGUCUCCAGAAAUAGCGUAGAGUUUAGAUUGAACUCGUAUAGAGAGACGAUUCAACACGUAGCCAACAGUGUCAAAACUGGCCCACUUUCCACCUAAAUAGUUCCUGGACUUAGACAUCCACCUGCUGUGCACUGCUGAUGCCGCACUUUCUAAUUCCAGAUUGAUUGGAAUUGGCUGCAAGAAGAAAAAAACGGAUUUUGAUGAGCAGACUUCUCUUUGGAUGACCUUUGCCGACUCUUUACGAAACAAGGCUGCAGCGCACCAGGAGACACCAGGGUGUCUUGCUGGAGGACAUUUCCAC